rnacentral:rRNA from 1 species
GUCAAAUCAUCAUGCCCUUUAUGGCUUGGGCUACACACGUACUACAAUGACCGCCAACAGACGGGACCGAAGGGGCGACCCGGAGGGAAUCCGAUAAAAGCGGACUCAGUUCGGAUUGGAGGCUGCAACUCGCCUCCAUGAAGUCGGAAUUGCUAGUAAUCGCGGAUCAGCAUGCCGCGGUGAAUACGUUCCCGGGCCUU